UGAAGGUACUUGUCUCUCUUUCAAACAGUGU
rnacentral:piRNA from 1 species